rnacentral:tRNA from 1 species
UCCCAGAAAGUCCCGCAAAACACCGAGUAACGCGACUGUUAAUCCGUAGGUCCCUGGUUCGAGCCCAGGUCGGGGAGCCA